GACCCAUGAUCGGGGAACAGAACAAUGCUAAUGAAGAAACUAACACAAGUUUUUGUUCUUCUAAGUUUGUUUCAUAUUCUUCUAUGUCUUAUAUUCUUUCAGAUUCAUGUCUCAGAGGCUAGACUUCGUCACCUAGGUGAAAAUCGCUCACUGAUAUCAAAGCCACCGUCGGAAUCUACCGGAUGCGUAAAACCCUCCCCACCAUGUCGAGCUCCUCUGAGUAGUCAAGCCAAGCCUUGCGUAAUAGUUCCAAGGCCUCCUCCUCCUAAACAUGUGUGCUCUCCGCGGUGACCGUCCCACAAGUAGCAACGUUGUACUCACACUCGAUUCUACAAAGAUUUUCACGGAAGCCCAACAUCCAAAAUAUUUUGUUUGCACCAAUGUACCAAAGUUACCGUUUGAUUGUGACCGUUUCCUUAAUUUUCAAACAAAUCAUGUAUACAUGGCAAAAAAGUAUUUUUCGACCCUAA